rnacentral:rRNA from 1 species
UACCUACGGGGGGCAGCAGUGGGGAAUAUUGCACAAUGGGGGAAACCCUGAUGCAGCAACGCCGCGUGAGUGAAGAAGUCAUUCGUGAUGUAAAGCUCUAUCAGCAGGGAAGAAAAUGACGGUACCUGAGUAAGAAGCCCCGGCUAACUACGUGCCAGCAGCCGCGGUAAUACGUAGGGAGCAAGCGUUAUCCGGAUUUAUUGGGUGUAAAGGGUGCGUAGACGGGAAUUUAAGUUAGUUGUGAAAUCCCUCGGCUUAACUGAGGAACUGCAACUAAACCUGAAUUUCUUGAGUGCG